GAUGAAGAACGUAGUGAAAUGCGAUAAGUAAUGUGAAUUGCAGAAUUCAGUGAAUCAUCGAAUCUAUGAACGCACAUUGCGCCCGCCAGUAUUCUGGCGGGCAUGCCUGUCUGAGCGUCAUUUCAACCCUCAUGCCCCUAGGGCGUGGUGUUGGGGAUCGGCCAAAGCCCGCGAGGGACGGCCGGCCCCUAAAUCUAGUGGCGGACCCGUCGUGGCCUCCUCUGCGAAGUAGUGAUAUUCCGCAUCGGAGAGCGAUGAGCCCCUGCCGUUAAACCCCCAACUUUCCAAGGUUGACCUCAGAUCAGGUAGGAAUACCCGCUGAACUUAAGCAUAUCAAUAAGCGGAGGA
rnacentral:misc_RNA from 1 species